GAAUAUCAGGAGAUGGACAGGCCAGUGUGCGGACAACAUCGGGCGUCACGUCUGGCACGUAGAAAGCAGCCGAGGCCUGUUAGCUAUUGCCAUUUUUGGACUACUCGGGACCUUUUUCAUCAGGAGAGAAGCUCCUUUCUGCCCACGUCCGCCAGCAAAGAGCCUGGACUGUAGCUGGGGACUGUUCAGCCCCGGCCCCGCCCCAGGCAAAUCCGUCCAGGCCCCAUUCAGGAAGGCCCUUUCCCAGGUGGAUCACGUCUAUCUUCCUUUGUGCUUCCCAAGUGGACCCUAACCAGGCAACUAUGCCGUGAUCCUUCCCGCGUCCAGCUCUCGGCAGGGAGCCUCCGUGUUUCCUCCUUGCAGGAGCCCUUGUUUGUGACGGCCGUCUCUGCAGCCGGCAGGUUGGCUCUGGCCAUCCCAUGUGGAGGCGGGAUAAAGGCAGGCCUGUGCUCCGGGCCAAGCUCCCACCCCACCCCGGAACUUGCUGCGAGGUGCGCUCCAGGAGAGGGACAAAGCCCUGUGGCCCUUCCCUCUGCCAGCAGUGCCAGCAGCUCUUCCCAUCCGGCCGUGGAUUAAAGGAGCCUGGGUAAGUGCCCAGGCGGAAUAAAGCCUGCAAACAUCCUGGGGACGUGCCCCUCCUUGGCAGGAGAACAGGAGAGAGGGGGAGGGUCUCCCUGAGCUGCACCCUCCCCGCUUACCCUGUGCCCCCCCCCGCCCCCCGCCCCCCCCCUCCCCGCAACUCCCGCUCAGAGCAUCGCAUCUCCUCUGCUCAGGACCAGCCCUGCACACAUCAUUUCAUCCCUCGAUGCUGCACCUCCAGCCCCCACUUGUCAAAUGCAGCUCAGGAAGGCUGAGCUCAUGAGGGGAAAGGCGCUCAGGCUUGCUACCUGUUUGCAAGGGAUGGGGGCUGACUCAGUCACCAUCACCUGAACACCACUCCUCCGACCAUCCACCCCAGUUCCCGCCUUCGCUGCAUGACUUACAAUCGUUCCCUGUAGAUGGCAACCUCCCCGAGGCAGUCAGUGGGACUGUUCAGACCCCUGCCGUAUCCCCAGGGGCCAGGGCACAGAAUGAUGUCUGGCANUGUUUGUGACGGCCGUCUCUGCAGCCGGCAGGUUGGCUCUGGCCAUCCCAUGUGGAGGCGGGAUAAAGGCAGGCCUGUGCUCCGGGCCAAGCUCCCACCCCACCCCGGAACUUGCUGCGAGGUGCGCUCCAGGAGAGGGACAAAGCCCUGUGGCCCUUCCCUCUGCCAGCAGUGCCAGCAGCUCUUCCCAUCCGGCCGUGGAUUAAAGGAGCCUGGUUUCAUUUUAGCAGGGGGACCCACCACCAGGUGCCAGCGAAGUGAAAGGACACCACAGCAUCUCGUCACCAGCAUCUCAACACAAGGGGGAAGGGGACCCUGGAGGAGCUGCUGGGAUCUGGGCACACGACUUCAAGUUCCCUCUCCAGAUGAGGCAGGGGUGAGCACGGAGGGAGGCCAAUGGGAAGCUGGGAAGGGACCCCAGAGUGGUGGGCUGAACAAACAGUCCUCAGUGGAAUGGCUUCUCCCCUGGGGUCUGCCCUGGAGGGCCUGUGGCCCAAGCCCAUUAAAUCAGAAAUUCCUUACAUGCCAGAUCCUGGGAAACAAUGCCCACCCCAGUGCACCAAAGUCUUUGGAGUUGACCGGGACAGACCCUGGCCUUGACCCCUGGGGAGGACCCUUGUCACUCCAGGGGUGGUCCAGUGGAUUGAAGGCUUUUUUUUCCCCCCUCUGUUUUUUUUAG
ensembl:lncRNA